UACGAAGGUCCCAAGCGUUGUUCGGAAUCACUGGGCGUAAAGGGAGCGUAGGCGGCGUGGUAAGUCAGAUGUGAAAUCCCGGGGCUCAACCCCGGAACUGCAUCCGAUACUGCCAUGCUUGAGGGUUGGAGAGGUAGCUGGAAUUCUCGGUGUAGCAGUGAAAUGCGUGGAUAUCGAGAGGAACACUCGCGGCGAAGGCGAGCUACUGGACAACAUCUGACGCUGAGGCUCGAAGGCUAGGGGAGCAAAAGGG
rnacentral:rRNA from 1 species